UACGUAGGGCGCAAGCGUUGUCCGGAAUUAUUGGGCGUAAAGAGCGCGUAGGCGGUUUCUUAAGUUUGGAGUGACAGUGGGUGGCUUAACUACCCAAGGCCUCUGAAAACUGGGGAACUUGAGGACCAGAGAGGGACAUAGAAUUCCGGGUGGAGUGGUGAAAUGCGUAGAUAUCCGGAGGAAUACCAAAGGCGAAGGCAGUGUCCUGGAGGGUGACUGACGCUGAGGCGCGAAAGCUAGGGGAGCGAACAGG
rnacentral:rRNA from 1 species